AGGUGAAGGUAGGAGAGGGGGUGGCGAGUAAAGACGUAGGGUGGGAGGAGGAGGGCGUGUCUCGUGUGUGUUCCCCUCGCCGGUACGGUGCCGCUGCUCCCUUCCGGUACUACCCCGCUGCAGCCUCUCCACCGUCCGCCGCCGCUUCUGCUCCUCGUCCUUAUAGCGGCAGAGUGUAGAGGUGGCCCUGGUUGUAGCACCACAACUCCGCCACCUCACCUCCGGACCCCUCUCAACAGAUCUUCUCCUCCUCCAACGGCCUCCUUCUCCCCUUCCCACCCCCUCGCGGCACCAGAAGGGCCGCCGCACCCACCACAACCACCGCCACUCCUCCAGGUCCCUCCGCCCGCCGUCUUCGCCUACGGAGCUUCCUCCUCCUUCCGCGAGCGCCGACGUCGACCCUAAGCUCGAGGCGGCGCCUAGUCCGAGGGCACAUGAGGGCGACGAGGAAGAAAAGUCGAGGACGGGACUCUUGCCGCCCCCGCCCGGCUGCCCACUGGGACCACACGAAGCUGGAGACGUCACCUGCGGCUGCACCCUUCUACAACCAGCUGGUCCCCCCACCCCCCUCCGUGGUACGGCACGCGCAACAGCUGCAGUUACCCGGACGCCAGCACCACCGGUUGCCGCACAAGCAGUCCCGCAGCGCCGUCGGUGGUUGGUGAAUUUCAGGCCGCUGGAGGCGCGCGAGCUACGCCAGAAGUCCUUCCGUGUAGACGAGACACGAGGAGGCCGUGGGCUGUGGUAAUUCGACUUCAGUUCCAUGGUUCAGAGAAAAAAGCAGUACUAUCGUUCUUAUUUAACAAAUUGGUACAGAGGGGUGGUUUCCAGUUAGGUAGAGAGAGAGAAGGGGAGUAGGGGGUGGGGUUCAACAAUCACGUGAGUUCAAUUAAACAUCUACAGAAAAAGUCGAUCGAGGGGCAUCUUUUACCGUAAAAAAACCAGUCAAAACACAUCUUUGUACCGUUUAUAUCUGAAAAAAUGUAAGACAUUGAACGGUACUGUUAAAUCAGAAGAAAAAACGGUACCGUUUAUAUCUAAAAAAAAGAAGAGAAAACAAAAGAUACUACCGUUAAAAGUGGGUUCAAGUGUUAGAUUUUUUAACGGUACCGUUAAAAGUCGUAAAAAACCGACACUCGUACUAUUUAGAAAAGAAUAAAAAAAUAUUGUACCGUUAAAAAAGAAACAGUACUGUACCGUUUUUAAGGGAAAGUAAAACGGUACCGUUUAAAUGAAACGUGUAUGUACCGUGUUAAAAGGGAAAAUGAGGGAGGCAAGGAUUUAUAUUCAGAAACAUCUCAAAAGUGAUACCUGGUGUAUGCCUACAUAUAUCUACGUAAAAUCUCACAUCUAAGUGAGUAAGACGAGGCAUACACCAGGUAUCACUUAAGAGAGGUUUCUGAAUGUAAAUCCUUGCCUCCCUCAUAAACGGUACGCUAAUAAAUGAGUAAAAACGGUACAGUUUAAAUGGAAAUAAAAACAGUACCUUUUUAAAUAGAAAAUAAACGGUACGGUUUUGAUUCAUUUUAAGUACCUCGUACCUUUUAAAUUGAAACAUGAAAACGGUACAGUUGAAAAUGAAAAAAACGGUACUGUUUAAAAAUCGAAGUAACGGUACCUUUUAAAUGGAAAUUAAUGAACCGUUUAAAUGACAAUGUAUGUACCGUUUAAAAUGAGAAAAAACGGUACAGUUUUUUAAAUGAAAAUUGAAACGGCACCGUUUUAAAAUGGAAUUAACGGUACCGCUGAAAAUAAGCAUUCAUGUACCGUUUAAAUGAACUUGUAUGUACAGUUUAAAAUAAGAAAAAACGGUACAGUUUUUUAAAUGAAAAUUGAAACGGUACGGUUUAAAAAUGGAAUUAACGGUACCGCUGAAGAUAAGCAUUCAUGUACCGUUUAAAAGAACUUGUAUGUACCGUUUAAAAUGGUACCUUUUUAAUUGGAAAAAUAAAGGUACCGUUUUAAUUGAAAAAUAACGGUACCGUUAAAAAUAAAUUGUAUGUACCGUUUAAAUGAAAAACAGUGAGUACUGUGUAAAUUAAAGAUUGCCUCGUACCGUUCAAACUCAAUACAAAAACGGUACCGUUUUUAUGAAAUGUAGGUGCCGUCUAAAGCUGGAAAGGUAGCAAGUACCAUUAAAACGAAGAUAUCUGAUACCAUGUAAAUGAAAUGUUUUGUACCGUUAGUGGUGAUGUGGUUGGUACAACGUAAAAAAAAAGACGAGAUGUACUACCGUUCAAAGUUAGGUGAAAAAACAGAGAAAUAAAUAUAUCAUUUUUAUCGUAUGCCUAAAAAUUAGGUGUAAAAAACGGUAGUACCAUCGGUAAACGUAUUUUUCUAGAAAAAAACUUGUCCCGUUUAAAACGAAUAUUUCUACUACCGUUAAAAAAACCGAAGUUGGGUAUCACUAACAAUCAUCAUAGAACAAGAAAUAAAAUAUAUAGAUAGCACGGUUUUAGGCUGGAAAUAAUAAGUAUCGGUUUUCGCCCGAAAGAAUCAGUGUAAUCGAAAACCUGUUUGACCCGAAAUAAAAGGACAAAAAAAAGUUGCUUCUUUUUCCGGACCCCCACAAGCCCGACCCGUGAACUGCAGGGCUUGCUGUGGCAAGCUAACUAACCGAAAGGGCACUGCUUGCUCAGCAAGCCAGACCCUCCAGCCAUGAAUAGCUACAGGACCGAGAUUCUCUGUCGCUCAGAAAGGAAGAAAUCCCCGCUCCCUCCAUGUAUUUAGAUGUCUUAGGUUUAAUUAAAGGUACAACCGUGGGCAGAGGCGCUAUUUGAGCCGGGUAUGCGCGAUCAAAGGUAUGUAAACUACCUAAAGGCUAGGCUGCCUGCGUGUCGGGUAGUUAAGGGCUAGAUUUGAAAGGUAUAGGACCAGCUAGCAAGGACAGUAUAGAAGGAGGCGUGCCCGAGCCGGCCCUGACGGAAAGGAACGUCGGCUGCGGCAAACCUGAGGACGAGCCUAGGCCACGGUUGAGGUGAAGCGGAUAUAUUCCGCCGUGCGUCGCCGCCGGAGGGGUGUGGUGGGCGUUGCGCAGGUGGAAGAGGGAAGGCCGGAGAGCGGUGGCGUGCGUGCGUGCGUGCGCAGUCGAGGUAGGAGACGUUCUUUCCGCUAGGUUCGAACCCCCACUACUACGGCUGCAGCCCGUUGCUGCGGCCGCGGACGCUGCCACUGCCGAGCGGCGUGCCCCAGUUCUUCUACACCUGGUUCCUCCUCCUGCUGGACGACGCCCUCGUCCACGCCGCGACGCCGCCGGGCGUGUUGACCCUGAGGUAGACGGCUCCCGACGGGCCGGCGUUGAGGUUCAGCACGGCGGAGGCGACCACGGUCGUGGAGCUGGGGUCCCACCUCCGGCAGUUCGGGAAGUGGUAGGUCCUCCUGUACGAGUAGCAGUUCAUGGUCCGGUGGAUGCCGUUGGCGACCAGGUGGUAGCGGCUAAAGGAGAGGCCGGCGUGGCUGUUACGGCAGUUCUUAGCGACCUUGAGACAGGAGGCGUUCGCGGUCCUCGUGCGGGGGAGGGUUGUCCCGGUCUGCGCGGGCACCCGAGGAAGGCGACGGGCUGUCCGGCGCCCGGGGCUCCAGUGCGGCGCCACGGACGGCGACAAGGGACCAAGCCGGCUCCUCCACACCCUCCGACUGUGUAGACGCCGCCGCUCCUUCACGGAGCUGGACAAGGGAGACCGCGGGCCCCUAUAGUCCCGGCUACACCUACGUCGCCGCGGCGGGUCACUGUACCGAACGCCUCGUCCGCUGGGCGAGUGGCUCGACUCCGAGACCGGCCGCGGCUCUCACCACAAGCUGCAUUACGGCGAGGUCCGAAUGGCCUACAUCUAAGAUCAGAAGAACGGAUAUGAACCAACAAGAGAGUAGAAUGAAAAACGACUAGCGCCCCUUAAAAGGAUCACCUUAAAUUAAACUAAACAUUACCUUCUUACAACAAUCCUGAGUUAACAUUGCCUUCUAGACACCUAGAACCAUAGUUGUCUUGCGACCUAAAAGACAUCAGCAUCACGAACGACCAAUCCAUUAGUUCUUUCAAGACUUGAAUCACAUUAAGAAACACGAAGAACUACUAGUUCUUUUAAGACUUACAGAACAUUAAAGGUACUGGUAGCAUUAGUUGUUUAGUUAGAAAUCGUU
rnacentral:rRNA from 1 species